rnacentral:rRNA from 1 species
GACGAACGCUGGCGGCGUGCUUAACACAUGCAAGUCGAACGGAAAGGCCCUGCGUUUGUGGGGUGCUAGAGUGGCGAACGGGUGAGUAACACGUGAGUAACCUGCCCUUGCAUUUGGGAUAACUUCAGGAAACUGGGGCUAAUACCGGUUAGGAGCCUCUGCUGCAUGGUGGGGGUUGGAAAGUUUCGGCGGUUUGGGAUGGACUCGUGGCUUAUCAGCUUGAUGGUGGGGUAGUGGCUCUCCACGGCUUUGACGGGUAGCCGGCCUGAGAGGGUGACCGGCCACAUUGGGACUGAGAUACGGCCCAGACUCCUACGGGAGGCAGCAGUGUGGAAUAUUGCACAAUGGGCGGAAGCCUGAUGCAGCAACGCCGCGUGCGGGAUGACGGCCUUCGUGUUGUAAACCGCUUUCGCCGGUGACGAAGCGUGAGUGACGGUAAUGGGUAAAGAAGCACCGGCUAACUACGUG